rnacentral:rRNA from 1 species
AGCGAACGCUGGCGGCAGGCUUAACACAUGCAAGUCGAGCGGGCACUUCGGUGUCAGCGGCAGACGGGUGAGUAACACGUGGGAACGUACCCUUUGGUUCGGAAUAACGCUGGGAAACUAGCGCUAAUACCGGAUACGCCCUUUUGGGGAAAGGCUUGCUGCCGAAGGAUCGGCCCGCGUCUGAUUAGCUAGUUGGUGGGGUAAUGGCCUACCAAGGCGACGAUCAGUAGCUGGUCUGAGAGGAUGAUCAGCCACACUGGGACUGAGACACGGCCCAGACUCCUACGGGAGGCAGCAGUGGGGAAUAUUGGACAAUGGGCGCAAGCCUGAUCCAGCCAUGCCGCGUGAGUGAUGAAGGCCUUAGGGUUGUAAAGCUCUUGUGUCCGGGACGAUAAUGACGGUACCGGAAGAAUAAGCCCCGGCUAACUUCGUG